UACGUAGGGUGCAAGCGUUAAUCGGAAUUACUGGGCGUAAAGCGUGCGCAGGCGGUUUUGUAAGACAGGCGUGAAAUCCCCGGGCUUAACCUGGGAAUGGCGCUUGUGACUGCAAAGCUGGAGUGCGGCAGAGGGGGAUGGAAUUCCGCGUGUAGCAGUGAAAUGCGUAGAUAUGCGGAGGAACACCGAUGGCGAAGGCAAUCCCCUGGGCCUGUACUGACGCUCAUGCACGAAAGCGUGGGGAGCGAACAGG
rnacentral:rRNA from 1 species